rnacentral:rRNA from 1 species
AGAGUUUGAUCAUGGCUCAGAACGAACGCUGGCGGCAUGCCUAACACAUGCAAGUCGAACGAACCCUUCGGGGUUAGUGGCGCACGGGUGUGUAACGCGUGGGAAUCUGCCCUUUGCUUCGGAAUAACAGUUAGAAAUGACUGCUAAUACCGGAUAACGUCGCAAGACCAAAGAUUUAUCGGCAAAGGAUGAGCCCGCGUAGGAUUAGCUUGUUGGUGAGGUAAAGGCUCACCAAGGCGACGAUCUUUAGCUGGUCUGAGAGGAUGAUCAGCCACACUGGGACUGAGACACGGCCCAGACUCCUACGGGAGGCAGCAGUGGGGAAUAUUGGACAAUGGGCGAAAGCCUGAUCCAGCAAUGCCGCGUGAGUGAUGAAGGCCUUAGGGUUGUAAAGCUCUUUUACCAGGGAUGAUAAUGACAGUACCUGAGAAUAGUCC